rnacentral:rRNA from 1 species
GGUGAACGCUGGCGGCGUGCUUAAGACAUGCAAGUCGAACGCAGUCUUCGGACUGAGUGGCGCACGGGUGAGUAACACGUAACUGACCUACCCCCAAGUCGCGAAUAACCAGCCGAAAGGAUGGCUAAUACGUGAUGUGAUGAUCCGCUGUGGCGGAUCCUUAAAGACUUGAUCGCUUGGGGAUGGGGUUGCGUUCCAUCAGCUAGUUGGUAAGGUAAAGGCUUACCAAGGCAACGACGGAUAGCCGGCCUGAGAGGGUGGCCGGCCACAGGGGCACUGAGACACGGGUCCCACUCCUACGGGAGGCAGCAGUUAGGAAUCUUCCACAAUGGGCGCAAGCCUGAUGGAGCGACGCCGCGUGAGGGAUGAAGGUUCUCGGAUCGUAAACCUCUGAACCAACGACGAAAGACCCGACAAGGGAGAUGACGGUAGUUGGGUAAUAGCACCGGCUAACUCCGUGCCAGCAGCCGCCGUAAAUAC